AACUCCCAGCAACUCCCUUCUCUCAAGCAAGUGAGGAAGGUUAUAUAAGUAAUAGGGAGUUUGCCCACCCGGAACCAGGGGCACAGCCAGUUCUGAGAACUUUCUCUAUUAUGCUUCCUUUAUUUCGUACCAGGUAGGUAAAGCCCUAGAUUAUUAACUUUUUGCUGGUUUGCUUGGUGGAUUUUUUUUUUUUUUUUUUUUUUAAGAAACAGGGUCUCACUCUGUUGCUCAGGCUAGAGUGCAGUGGUACAUUCAUAGCUCACUGCAGUCUCGAACUCCUGGGCUGAAGUGAUCCUCCCAGCUCAGCCUCCCAAGUAGCUGGGAUUACAGGCAUGUGCAUGUGUCAUCACACCCAGCUAAUUUUUUUUUUUUAAGAGAUGGGGGUCUUGUUAUGUUGCCCAGACUAGUCUUGAACUCAUAGCCUCAAGCGAUCUUCCCACCUCAUCCUCCCAAAGCACUGGAUUACACGCCAGGUGUAAGCCACCACACCUGACUGACCCUUUGUUUUUUUAAAUCGGGGACAUAUCAGAAGUAAUUUAAAGCUAUGUGGGAGGGAUGAUAUUUAUUCAUGUAUGUUUACUUUUUAAAAAUUAAUUGAAGUCCACUUAAAACUUUACAACGUUUACCAAUAUGCAUCACAAAGCUUCUUAGAGAAAAUCAUGCUAUGGGUCUGUAUGGCAGAUGCACCUAACAGCAAUAACUCAAGCAUACCCUGAGAAGAAUCCAGGAGUGGUCAAGCUGGAGAUUCACUCCUCAUCUAUGAAGAACAUCUGAACCCCUGGCCUAUCAUUUGGAAUGCAGACUAUACAGGGAUCAGGGGCCUUUUGUUUUGGGUUAAAGGAAGGUUGCUUGGUGAAGAUUGCUAAGUGAACAUGCUAUAUAAUAUGCAUGCUUUUUACAAAUGGUAGUGGUUUUCCUAUCCAGCCUCCCAUUCCGAGAAUGCUCUGUAUAUAAGUCUUCUAUAAACCCUAUGUCUCAUUCACUGGCUCCGGGUCUCUUACCGAGCCAUCCCUGUUGGAAUCAAUAGGGGCCUGGCAUGACAGUGUCUAUAUGUGUUUUCUGGUUGCUUCCUAAAUUUUAUUCUGAAUAAGAAAAUUUUCAUAGUUCUACUAGAAUAAGGACCUCAUCUAUCAAUUCUGUGCCUUCAGUGCCUACAGUAGUGCCUGGGACUUGGUAGGUACUCCAUACAUUAAAAAAAUAUAUUUUUAAGGAUGGGGUCUCACUAUGUUGCCCAGGCUGGCCUUGAAUUCCUAGGCUCAAGUGAUCCUCCUGCCUCAGCCUCCUGGGAAGCUAGGACUACAGAUGUGAGCCACUGUGCCUGGCUUUUGUUUUUUUUUUUUUUUACUUAAAAAAAUUGCCAUAAUUAAAAAAAAAUUACUUAAAAAAUGAAUGAAAACAUGGGAACAGGAGAUAGACUUUUUUUUUUUUUUUUUUUUUUUUAAGACACGCUCUCCCUAUGUUUCCCAGGCUGGCUUGAACUCCUGGCCUGAAGUGAUCCUCUGGCGUCAGCCUGGCAAAGUGCUGGGAUUACAGGCAUGAGCCACUGUGCCCAGACAAAAUGUUUAAUACUGUUAUUGAGUACCAGCUCUGAGAAGGUGUCAUGGCAGGCAUUUGACAUGCACCAUCUCAAUCUCCCAACAAUGCUAAAAGUUAGGUGCCUGUGACAUACUAAAUUUAUAGAUGAAAUGCUAAAGUAAAGAGAAGGCAAGUAGCUUGCCUGAGACCUCAUAGCUCAGAAAUGGAAGAAGUCAAACCUGGAUAGUUGAACUCCAGAGUCUACACUCAGAACACCACAGUUAAUAUACAUGUUUUAACCUCUGCUUCCCAUUUUUCCUUAUGUAAGAACUCAACUGUGUUUAAACUGGUGAGAAAUCAUUCCACAUUGACAACAAGGUUUGUGAAAGCAAGAAAUGUAGUUAUUUUCAUUUAUACAUAAAUUUACAUUUUUAAAAAGUACGUAUUGAUUGUGACUUAAUACCAAUAUACAUUUGGCCUCUGCCCUGGUUCCUGACACAAAACUCAUGUACAUUUCUUUUUUUUUUUUUGAGACGGAGUCUCACUCUCUCACCCAGGCUGGAGUGCAGUGGCGCAAUCUCGGCUCACUGCAAGCUCCGCCUCCCGGGUUCACACCAUUCUCCUGCCUCAGCCUCAUGAGUAGCUGGGACUACAGGCUCCCGCCACCACGCCCGGCUAAUUUUUUUGUAUUUUUAGUAGAGACGGGGUUUCACCGUGUUAGCCAGGAUGGUCUCGAUCUCCUGACCUCAUGAUCCGCCUGUGUCGGCCUCCCAAAGUGCUGGGAUUACAGGCGUGAGAUACCGCGCCCAGCAAACUCAUGUAAAUUUCUAAGUGAUGGGGUGACAGGAGAAUUUUUCUGUUCAUGACAGAAGAGCUUCUGAAACUCUUGGAAUUAUCCGAGUGAUAGGGGUGAGAAGAGCAUCUUCUGUUACUCUUAAUAAGCCCCUUUCAAGCAUACCCGAGUUUACGUUAAUAAGGUGACUCAGAGGAUGGGAGCCCCUUGCCAGAGGAACCAACCAUGUGACUAAAAGGUUGGAAUUUUCAGCUCCACUCUCCCUCCUCCAGGAUGGGGAGAGGGGUUGGAGAUGAGUCCAGUCACCAGUGGCCAAUGAUGUCAUCAAUCACACCUAUGUAAUGGAACCCCCACAAAAACUCCAAAUAAAGGGGUUCCAAGAGCUGCUAGGUUGGUGAACACAUGGAGGUGCGGGGAGGGUGGCGAGCCCAGCGAGGACGUGGAUUCCCCACGGCCCUUCCCACAUACCCCGUUCUUUCAUUUGGCUGUUUCUGAGUUGUGUGCUUUAUAAUCAACUGACAAUGCUUGGAGCAGAAGAGAGGAUGGCUGUGGCAGGCUUGGUGCAUGGUGUUAAAGCUGGCUGUGGAGCAUCCUUUUUCAGUCUGCAGUGUAGGGCAUGAGAAAACGCAGCUGACAACAUGAAGCCAUCACAGUGUACUCAGGCUCCAGGACUGAUAACAGCGUGUCUAGAUGGAGUGAGAAAAAACCAACCAAUAAAGGCAGGGGCUUAUGGGUAAUGAGACCACCCACUAACUAAUCCCAAAGUACUCCUGUGGAGAAGACUGUCAUUCUCUUUUUGACUUAGGUAACAAAAUGUCAUCAUGUGACUGGUCCCAGGCUCAGAGGCCUGGUUUUCCCUCUCUGUUCUUCCUAUGUGCAAUUUUUGGCAACACCCAGUCUCUUUGGGCCACAUUUUUCUUUAUAGUUUAAACAAAAGAGCUGAACACAGGUUUUUUUUUUUUUUUAAUGCUUUUCUUCCAGUUUGAAUAUUUUGUGACAUCACGAGACAAGUCCAAUUGUGAUACUCCAAAUAGUGGCCAAGUGUCUCCUUCUCCAGUCUUACCCAUUAAACCAAAAAUGAAAAAUACCAUUUUGGUAAGGAAGCAAUUGUUUCUGCUAUUUUUCAAGAAAUGCUCAACAUGGCCAGCCACGGUGGCUCACAUCUGUAAUCUCAGCACUCUGGGAGGCUGAGGUGGAUGGAUUGCUUGAACACAGGAGUUUGAGACCAGCCUGGGCAACAUGGUGAAACGCCGUCUCCACAAAAAAUAAAAUACAAGAAUUAGCUGGGUGUGCCUGUACUCCCAGCUACCCAGGAGGCUGAGGCAGGAGGAUCACUUGACCCUUAGAGGCAGAGGUUGCACUGAGCCGACAUCAUGCCACUGCACUUGAGCCUGGGUUACAGAGUGAGACAGUCAAAAAAAAAAAAAAACAAAAAAAGCUAAUCACAUAUUCAGUGCAGGCAUUAGUAUAUUUUUCUAUCUAAUAUAUUCAAGUCUAUUUGCUUCUUAGAAGAGGUAUUUAUUUCCUCACCAUAUUACUCACUAUACCGCUCUUGAUUUGUGUAGCCCCUGUUGAGUCCAUUGAGGGCAGGACAUCUCCAUCCCUAGCAUUAGUUCAGCAUAGAGUCCACACUGAUAAAUACAUGUGGACUAGUAUGAAGCCUUUGCAGACACACAUGCACACAUGUAUGCACACAUACAGCCAGGUAGGACAUGAAUUUUUGUAAUAAAUAUACUAUGAUAUGGCUAUUUUGUCUUGUUAUUCUCAUAAUGGGCCAAAAUGGAAGUGCCUCCCAUCCUCUGCCAAAAAUCAAAAAAGCAUUCACUAUGAACAUUUAUUUUCAGAGAAGUGUAUGAUCAUCUUGUGGUCCCACAGACAGCCCUAAAAUUCCCCACUAGAGACGCCAAUGUCGGAAUGAGAACCUGGGUUUCUUAGCUUAAAGAAGGCUGCCAUGAUGGCUCCAAGAAUUUUAUUUCUUCUCUUCCCAUUUUCUCUCUCUGUCACUUUCUGUUCUUACUUCAUUUCCUCAUUUGUAUUUUGGGUUUACUACAACCAAUAUAAAGAAGUUGUAGUAAUUAAAAAGUUAAAGAUUAGCACGGGAGCUGGCUUUCAUUUACUCAUUAUUUCAAUGCAAUCAUACUUAUUGAUACCCUAUGGUUCCUGGACAUUGGGCUAGAUGGAGGGAAUAAAACACUAACAAGUUGGACAGAGUCCUCUCCUCCCAGAAAUGAGAUACUAGUAAGGGAUAGAACCAAGUUAUAGCACAGGUAAAAAGCUAAAUGAUGGGAGAAGGGGCUAAUGUGGGAGGAUUUGGGAUGUGAAGGGGAUCCCUUAAAUGAUAAACCAGAGCAGGUCACUCCUCUUCUCAAACUUUCCCAAUGCUUCCUUCCCACCUUACUUAUGACCAAAGCCAAAGUCCUUACAGCAACCAACAGGACUUUCUGCGAGCAGGGCUCCAUCACCUAUCUGACCUCAUCUUCUCUUCUUCUGCUUUCCUCUUAGUUCACUCCAGCCACUCUGGCCCUUCCACGCCUUAAACACAGUGGCCCAUACCUAUCUCAGGGCCUUUGCACUUGCUGUUUCCUCUAUCUGGAAUAGUAUUCUCCCAGACAGCCUCAUAGCUAGACCCCUCACUUCAAUCAAGCCUUGACUUUAUGACACCUGCCCAGUGGGGCCUUACCUGGAUUUUGCCAAAACUGCAACAUCCCCACCCUCCAACAUUUUAUAUUGCCCAUCCUGCUUCACAUUUAUUUGUGCUCAGCUGUUAUCAUUAUCUAACAUACUAUGUAAUUUACCUAUUUUCUUGUUUAUUGCCUGACUUUUCCAUGAGAAGGAUAAAUCCCAUGACAAAAGGCUCUUUUAUUUAUUUUGCUCACUGUAGUAUCUCCAGGGCCUGGAACAGUGCCUGGCACAUUGUAGAUACUCAAUGAAUACUCUGUGAAUGAAUAAAUGAAUGAAGGGUCAUAAAAUUCUUCCCAGAGGAAGUGAGCAAUUGAAAACUAACUUGAAAUCUAAAGAAUGCGACUGAAUUAUCCCAGCAAAGGGAAUGGAGGAUGGUCCUAUGUCCCUUCCUCUUAAAUUUGGGCAGAAUUUGUGACUUCUUUGUCCAACAAAAUAUCGCAGAAGUGAUGCUGUACCAGACUGAAAAAGAGUGGCAGUUUCUAGCUGUGGUAUCUUGGAUCCAAAGAAUCAAUGACCCCAUACAACAGACCCAGUAGAGUUCCCAGGAAACAGCCAGCACCAGCCAUGUUGGUAAGAUAUCUUGAAAAUAGAUACUUCAGCCCACUUGAGCCACCACAGCUCACACCACCUGGAGCACAGUCAAGCCUUUUCUGCUGAGCCCUGCCCAAACUGCAGAUUUGUGAACCAAAUAAAUAAUUGCAAUUGUUUUAAGCCAAUAACUUUUAGGGUGGUUUGUUGUUAAAAGCUAUGGAUAACCAGAAAAAUGAGAAAGAGUCAACAAGAAGAGAAAUUGUCAUGAUUUUUCUGUGUGAAACCACACAGGGUUAAGCAGUUGUGGUUGCCUAAUUAUUCCUACUCCAUGGGAUAUCACAGGAAAGAAGAGAGUGUGCUUUACUAUGGGGUUACACUGUUAUUUUGGGAUGAUCCUGAAAGGAGUUAAUUCUGAUCCAAACUAACCAGAGAACUGACAGAAUAUAUUACAUACUUAAAGAUCAUACUUUCAUUUUGUUUGAACCACUGGAGGGAAUCCAAUCCCAAAUUAAUAUAACAAAACCAGAAGCUUGCUUAAAAAAUAUUUUAUCAGAUUCCAAAGUUGAGCUUGUGGUAGGGUGUACUGGAACCCUUUAAUAGGUACUCUAGUAAAGACAUUCUUUUCAUUUUGUAAGUGAACAAAAGAAGACAGAGUGAGCCUCUCUGGAAGUGCCUAAGUUAUUGGUAGACAUUGUCCCUAUAUUAAGUUGGAGAUCAAUAAGGCUCCAGAUCAAUAUCAGAGCUUCAUGUCAGGGGACACUAUAUGCAUGUGACAGAUGCAGCCAGGUAGGAAAGGAAAGUAAACAACUCUUUGUUUUUAUUUAAACUACUUUUUUUUU
rnacentral:lncRNA from 10 species